rnacentral:rRNA from 1 species
AAUCUUCCACAAUGGACGAAAGUCUGAUGGAGCAACGCCGCGUGAGCGAAGAAGGUUUUCGGAUAGUAAAGCUCUGUUGCGAGGGAAGAACAAGUACGGGAGUAACUGCCCGUACCUUGACGGUACCUCGUCAGUAAGCCACGGCUAACUACGUGCCAGCAGCCGCGGUGAUACGGAGGUGGCAAGCGUUGUCCGGAAUAAUUGGGCGUAAAGCGCGCGCAGGAGGUCAUUUAAGUAGGAUGUGAAAGACCACGGCUGAACCGUGGAGGGUCAUUGGAAACUGGAGGACUUGAGUACAGAAGAGGAAAGCGGAAUUCCACGUGUAGCGGUGAAAUGCGUAGAGAUGUGGAGGAACACCAGUGGCGAAGGCGGCUUUCUGGUCUGUAACUGACGCUGAGGCGCGAAAGCGUGGGGAGCAAACA